AUGACAAGCACUAAGAUGAGCAGAAUGUUCUGUUCUUGGAGUCAGUGUUGGUGCUCAGGGAAGAAGUGGGACUUCACAGGUCUUCAGAAUCAUGCUGAGAAGUAUUGGAAUGCAGUCCUCCCAACACCCCCAGGGUAUCAGCUGGCUCAUACUUCCCAGAAUCUCUUUCCUACUUGCAUUUCCUUUGAAUCAUUGCUACUGAAUGUGACUGGUGCUCUGAAAGUAUGUUACAAAGAGACCUGGAAGGAAGGUGAGAGAAAGCAGGGGACUACUUUCUGUUACUUUGCACUUAGGGGUGCCACUGCUGCCCACAAGCAGGCAGUGCUUCGGCUUCACAGUUAUCAGAGCUCAGUUUUCUGCAGGAAGUAAAGAUGCCAC
rnacentral:lncRNA from 1 species